UUGGCUGCAGUUUACACAGGAGAUCGUGCUCGACCUGAUCGAGAAGUGAUGGGAGCAGAAAUCAGUUCCGGUGAUGGUGUAGCGCCGAGCUGGAGGGGACCGCGUCCAGGGGGCGCCCACAACGUGACCCGACGGACGCACGACGACAACGAAGACGACGACGAGGAAUCAAAGACGAGCGCGCGCUUCUAUGUUGGGCUGUUUCCCUUCAGGCCAUCAAGUGAUUCACUAUAGAGUGAUAUCAUCUAAACAUUAAACGCGUAGGCCUAGACCCUCA